rnacentral:rRNA from 1 species
UACAGAGGGGGCAAGCGUUGUUCGGAAUUACUGGGCGUAAAGGGCGCGUAGGCGGCCUGUUAAGUCGAACGUGAAAUCCCUGGGCUCAACCCAGGAACUGCGUCCGAUACUGGCAGGCUUGAAUUCGGGAGAGGGAUGCGGAAUUCCAGGUGUAGCGGUGAAAUGCGUAGAUAUCUGGAGGAACACCGGUGGCGAAGGCGGCAUCCUGGACCGAUAUUGACGCUGAGGCGCGAAAGCCAGGGGAGCAAACGGGG